UAAAUUGUCGCAAGCGCAGGCAUUUGGGAGUUCACUUUACGGCAGUCUCGUUAGAUUUUAUAUUAGUUACUAUCAGACACUACAGAUUUUUACCUAAUCUACGGUGUACAUAGACUGUACAGGUUCACUCUAGGUACAUGUCUAGAGUCUGUCUGGAUAUAUGGCGUGCCAUUUGUGUCAAAAUUAGACAAUGAGAUGAGGCGAUGAGAUCAUGCGAUGAGACAAUGAGAGGAGGCGAUGAGACAAUGAGAUGAGGCGAUGAGACAAUGAGAGGAGGCGAUGAGACUGUAAUAUGAGAUUGCAAUAUGAGACUGCAUGCAUCGAUAUGAGAGAAUCUAGUUUUUGAAGGUUGUUUACUCGUGUUCUUAUCAAGGCUGCAUUUUUGAGCUCCACAAACCAAUCGAAGUGCCUACUCUCCCACAGAGUCUUUAUUCGACACUUGUUGUCUGCAACUAACAGAUGAAGAAAGAAAGAAGACAAGAGAAACUUAAUCACGGGGUGACUCCUGGCUUUCUCCAUAUUUAUUUUGUUUUUACUUACUUUCCGUCACGUGCCAAAUCAAGUCGGCUGCUCUUGGCUCUGACAUACAACAUUUUGCCAGUGAAUAUCGCGGUCCCUAGCUGUGUAGGUACGUGUAUUGUACACAACACGCUACCUUUACCGUAGACGAACCGGCUAGAGAGGAAAUGCUACGAAUUUAGAUGUAUUUAGAUAGGCAAAUGUAUUGUUUUUCUGUUGCAGUCGACACCCACUGCCUCUCGUACGCGUGAUGAGUCACAAAGCCCAUCAUCAGAAAUUUUUGUGAUGUCUCAAGUUAGAGAACUACGUCAAGUAUUUCCAGAUAGGACUGAAUCGUUUCUGAAAAGAGCGAUUCACGAUCUUUCUACCGUUGAGAGCGCUGUAGAAGCUGUGCCGGAUGGACUUAUUCCACAGGUAAACUCAAAACUAAAUUUCUAAGAUAGAACGUAUUGAUCUCUCUAUGCAUACGGAGCCCAACAGCACAAACAGUCUACACCGAUGAAGUGGGUGAUUUGUCUGAUCUCUUGGAAAGCUAUUGCCCCGAUCUCGGUACUCUGCCAGCAACAAGAAUAGCUGUCGCAAGAGACAGCAUACUAACUGACACAGUCGCUUUUUUUAAAAGCAACAAGUUUGACAUACGAAGCACAUUUAGAGUUCGUUUUGAGAACGAACCGGCUGUUGAUGGAGGAGGCCCAAGGCGAGAGUUUUUUACUCUGCUCUUGCGUAGCUUAAUUGCUCCGGAUACUCCUUUUCGUCUCUUCGAGGGUAAGGCUGGUCAUAUACUGCCAAUUCACAACAUCGACGCUCUCGUGGGAGGAAUGUUCAAGUCUGCUGGCAAUAUCAUUGCAGCAUCUAUUGUUCAAGGAGGACCGGGCUUUCCGAUGUUCUCGAGUGCGUUUUAUGCAUAUUUACAAACUCAAGACCUAGAUGAUGUGUAUGCUCUUGCAACGCCUGAUGACAUUCCAGACUCGGCUGUUGCUCACUCUGCUAAGCAGAUUGGAAGACAAGACAUUUCAAAUGAAGAAUUUGAAACUCAUGUAACGGUGUUGCAAGAUUCUGUUAUUGCAGCUGGCUAUCCUUAUCGACUUACUAAAGAAAAUCAUGGAGAAGCCGUUCGCAGCCUGCUUGUGCACGAGAUAAUUUUGAGCAGACGUUCAGAAAUUGACCAAGUCAUAGCAGGACUCGGACCUGAAAUCUGCACGAUGGUAAAGGAGCAUGGGAAAGUAAUGUCGAGCCUAUUUACAAACGAAGGUCGAGUGCCACUCGUAGCUUCUGAAUUUCUUAAGCUUGUGACGUAUGAAAAUACGUUACCUCGACAUUUGAAGGAUUACUUUCAGCGGUACGUCUUAGAAGCAGAUGAGAAACACCUUCGUUUGCUGCUGCAGUCUGUCAGUGGAGUGUCAGCAGUCCCUCCGAUGGGAUUCCAGACGCCGGAUAGCAUCACAGUUUCGAGUAUCCGGUCACGUUAUCCAGACUGCUCGACGUGUGCAAUGAUAUUGGAGCUCCCUAUUAACUGCACCUUAUAUGACGAGUUUUCUGACGCUCUCAGAACAGCCACCGAACUUCAAUCAAUGGGUUUUGGAAUUGUAUAAAUAUGACACAUAAAUUUUGCACUACUUUCUUUGCUAGAUUUGACUAGGCUUUUAGUAGAUGCAUGUUUGGUCUCAUAUUGCAAUGGUCUCAUCGCAUGGUCUCAUCGCAUGGUCUCAUCGCCUCAUCUCAUGAUCUCAUCGCCUCAUCUCAUUGUCUCAUCGCAUGAUCUCAUCGCCUCAUCACAUUGUCUAAUUUUGACACAAAUGGCACGCCAUAUUUAUGAGACCAUUGCAAUAUGGAGACUGCAUCAAUAUGAGAUUACCGCAGAUUACCGCAUGCAGCUACUACACAACUGUAUGGGACUGAUGGUGGAUUUUUCAUGAUGCACCCAGUCAACUAGUAAUUUUUGAGUGUCAACGAGGUCGAGUCUCCAUUGAGAAGCUACGAGUGCAAAACAACAGCAAAACAACACGAGAGCGCAAACUCUGAAAUGAAGAUAGGAAAAUAAAAUUUAAAAAAAUGCAAAUAGAAAAUAAAAAUGCUAUUUAAAAAUAAAACGUAAGUAUUGUAGUAACAUUUCAAAUUUAAUUUUUAAUUUUAAAAUACUAUUGUUGCAUUAAAUUAAUUGAAUAUUGCAAUGAGAAGAGGC